rnacentral:rRNA from 1 species
GAUGAACGCUGGCGGCGUGCCUAAUACAUGCAAGUCGAGCGAACAGACGAGGAGCUUGCUCCUCUGACGUUAGCGGCGGACGGGUGAGUAACACGUGGAUAACCUACCUAUAAGACUGGGAUAACUUUGGGAAACCGGAGCUAAUACCGGAUAAUAUAUUGAACCGCAUGGUUCAAUAGUGAAAGACGGUUUUGCUGUCACUUAUAGAUGGAUCCGCGCCGCAUUAGCUAGUUGGUAAGGUAACGGCUUACCAAGGCGACGAUGCGUAGCCGACCUGAGAGGGUGAUCGGCCACACUGGAACUUAGACACGGUCCAGACCCCUAAGGGAGGCAGCAGUAGGGAAUCUUCCGCAAUGGGCGAAAGCCUGACGGAGCAACGCCGCGUGAGUGAUGAAGGUCUUCGGAUCGUAAAACUCUGUUAUUAGGGAAGAACAAAUGUGUAAGUAACUAUGCACGUCUUGACGGUACCUAAUCAGAAAGCCACGGCUAACUACGUG